rnacentral:rRNA from 1 species
UACGUAGGCAGCGAGCGUUGUUCGGAAUUACUGGGCGUAAAGCGCGUGUAGGCGGCUCUGCAAGUCGGGUGUGAAAUCCCAUGGCUCAACUAUGGAAGUGCACUCGAAACUGCAGGGCUAGAGUCCUGGAGAGGAAGGUGGAAUGCUUGGUGUAGAGGUGAAAUUCGUAGAUAUCAAGCGGAACACCGGUGGCGAAGGCGGCCUUCUGGACAGUGACUGACGCUGAGACGCGAAAGCGUGGGGAGCAAACAGG